GAACAGGACAAGAAUCUCUGGACUGUGAAACCUCCUUCCGGUGAAAGAAAUACCCCCUGGAAAACAGAAACAAGAGAUAACAAGUGCCAGUAAGAAGUGGAGAAAAGGAAACUCUUGCACACUGUUGGUGGUAAUCCACACCCUCGGCAGGCUCUUUAACCCACUGCUUCACAGUGGGAACUCCUGAAAUCACAAUCUUGAAUAGAUAUCUUGCAGUCCCUUGUUCACUGCUGCAUUACUGACAACACCCAAGACAAGGAAACAGCCUAAGCAUCCAUUGAAUGGGUAAAGAAAAUGUAUGUGCAAUGGAAUAUUAUUCAGUCAUAAAAAAGAAGAAAAUCCUGCCAUUCGUGACAACAUGGAUGGAGCUUGAGUGGACUAUGCUAUGUGAAAUAAGUCAAAGACAAAUUUGUGUGUUAUCACUCAUAUAUGCAAUCUAAAAAACAAACAAACUACAACAACAAAUGAGAGUAGAUUGAUUGGUUGCCAGGAGCGGGGGUGCGAAGGAAGGUGGCCAAAGAGUACAAACUUCCAGUUACAAAACUAACAAGCUCUGGGCAUCUAAUGUACAACAUGAUGGCCAUAGUUAACAAUAUUUCAUUGUAUACUUGGAAGUCAAAGUUCUCAUCCCUGAAAAAAAUGGUAAUUUAGCUAAUCUUACUGUCAUAAUUAUUUCUCAAUAUACAUGUAUAUCAAAUCAUCACAUUGGACAGCUUAAACUUAUCCAGCAUUACAUAAUAAUAUCUCAAUUAAACAGCUGGAAACAAUUUUUUUUUCUUUUUAGGGCCACGCCCAUGGCAUAUGGAAGUUCCCAGGCUAGGCGUAGAAUUGGAGCUGCAGCUGCGGGUCUACACCACAGCCACGGCAACACCAGGUCCAAGCCGCGUCUGCUACCUACACCACAGCUUGUGGCAGUGACAGAUCCUUAAUCCACUGAGAGAGGCCAGGGAUCGAACCUGCAUCCUCAUGGAUGCUAGUCAGGUUCAUAACCCACGGAGCCACCACAGGAAAUCCUGGGAAUCAUUUUUAAAAUAAAGUUUCACAAAGAUUUGAAACAAGUGCUUUAGGGUUCUAGAAAAUUUAACAAAUUCUAUUAACUAAACUACUGUCAGAGGAAUAGUAACUGGCCAGAACCCAGCAAGUGAAUACAUGAAGAAAUAUUUGUGAAUAAGUUGUGUUGAUACAAGGCACCAUUGUUUGGGGUCUUUUUUUCUUUGAUGUGUGUUAAUAUACAUUGAGUUCAUUUGAAAAGUUCUUCUCCAGUUGUAUGGCAUUAUACUAACAAAUAAAGAUGUAUAUUUAAGAUGUACAACAUGACGAUUUGA
ensembl:lncRNA